GACGAACGCUGGCGGCGUGCUUAACGCAUGCAAGUCGAACGGAAAGGCCCUGCUCUUGUGGGGUGCUCGAGUGGCGAACGGGUGAGUAACACGUGAGUAACCUGCCCUUGACUUUGGGAUAACUUCAGGAAACUGGGGCUAAUACCGGAUAGGAGCUCCUGCUGCAUGGUGGGGGUUGGAAAGUUUCGGCGGUUGGGGAUGGACUCGCGGCUUAUCAGCUUGUUGGUGGGGUAGUGGCUUACCAAGGCUUUGACGGGUAGCCGGCCUGAGAGGGUGACCGGCCACAUUGGGACUGAGAUACGGCCCAGACUCCUACGGGAGGCAGCAGUGGGGAAUAUUGCACAAUGGGCGGAAGCCUGAUGCAGCAACGCCGCGUGCGGGAUGACGGCCUUCGAGGUGUAAACCGCUUUCGCCUGUGACGAAGCGUGAGUGACGGUAAUGGGUAAAGAAGCACCGGCUAACUACGUG
rnacentral:rRNA from 1 species